rnacentral:rRNA from 1 species
UGGGGAAUUUUGGACAAUGGGCGAAAGCCUGAUCCAGCAAUGCCGCGUGUGUGAAGAAGGCCUUCGGGUUGUAAAGCACUUUUGUCCGGAAAGAAAUCCUUGGCUCUAAUACAGUCGGGGGAUGACGGUACCGGAAGAAUAAGCACCGGCUAACUACGUGCCAGCAGCCGCGGUAAUACGUAGGGUGCAAGCGUUAAUCGGAAUUACUGGGCGUAAAGCGUGCGCAGGCGGUUUGCUAAGACCGAUGUGAAAUCCCCGGGCUCAACCUGGGAACUGCAUUGGUGACUGGCAGGCUAGAGUAUGGCAGAGGGGGGUAGAAUUCCACGUGUAGCAGUGAAAUGCGUAGAGAUGUGGAGGAAUACCGAUGGCGAAGGCAGCCCCCUGGGCCAAUACUGACGCUCAUGCACGAAAGCGUGGGGAGCAAAGCAGGAUUAGAUACCCCUGGUAGUCCACGCCCUAAACGAUGUCGACUAGUUGUUGGGGAUUCAUUUCCUUAGUAACGUAGCUAACGCGUGAAGUUGACCGCCUGGGGAGUACGGUCGCAAGAUUAAAACUCAAAUGAAUUGACGGGGUCAUAGCUGUUUCCU